GACGAACGCUGGCGGCGUGCUUAACACAUGCAAGUCGAACGGAAAGGCCCUGCUUUUGUGGGGUGCUCGAGUGGCGAACGGGUGAGUAACACGUGAGUAACCUGCCCUUGACUUUGGGAUAACUUCAGGAAACUGGGGCUAAUACCGGAUAGGAGCUCCUGCUGCAUGGUGGGGGUUGGAAAGUUUCGGCGGUUGGGGAUGGACUCGCGGCUUAUCAGCUUGUUGGUGGGGUAGUGGCUUACCAAGGCUUUGACGGGUAGCCGGCCUGAGAGGGUGACCGGCCACAUGGGGACUGAGAGACGGCCCAGACGGCUACGGGAGGCAGCAGGGGGGAAUAUGGCGCAACGGGCGGAAGCCUGAUGCAGCAACGCCGCGUGCGGGAUGACGGCCUUCGGGGUGUAAACCGCUUUCGCCGGAGACGAAGCGGGAGUGGCGGUAAUGGGUAAGGAAGCACCGGCUAACUACGUG
rnacentral:rRNA from 1 species